rnacentral:piRNA from 2 species
UGUCUUUUGAUAUUUCCUGUCAUUAGC